rnacentral:lncRNA from 1 species
CCUUUCUCUGUUCAUACUCCACUGAUUCUCUCUCUCACUAGGCUCAAAUUCUGCCUUUCAGCAGCCAAGGGGUAUGGGGAAUAAAUCCUGAAUGCAGACAAGGUGUGCUUAAGAUCAGGAGUCUCAGUCUCCAGGAUGAACCAAGAAGCUGGAUACCCUGGCUGAAGUCUGCCAAGGCUCAGGAGCACAGCAGCAUGCCAGAUCCUCCCUGGAUUUGAGCAUAACAGCCUGUUUUGGUGGCUAGCUUCUUCAGCUAAUGGAUGACACAGAGAAAUACCUGAAUCUAUCAUAUGUCUGUGAGGACCAAAUUCCUAGAUUGCAAGACCAGCCUAAUUCUUUGCUCUGCUGGAAGUCAUCUUAAGAGGCUGCUUGACAUGGGUCUCAGGAAUGCCUUGUGGAACUUCAGCACUCAGCUCUUACUCCAUCAUCACCGCCUUGCAGAGAUGCUGCAUCUGGGAGUCCAUCUAAGUGAGAGGCUGGUUCACUUUGAACACUGGUGUGAAGCUAGGCUACACUUACUUUCUGGAGCUCUUUAGCAUUAUCACGAGUAGCUACUGUGUAGGCAGCACGAGCAGCAGCAUUCUGUGGGGUGGAUUGCACAUAUCUUGGAAGUGUAAAUUGUGCUAGUAGCACUGCGUUACUGAGCCAUAGACCUGAAAAAACCUGUGAAGAUACAUAACCUAGCAAAAGCAGUAAGCCAGACAGGAUUCAAAAUCAGUUAUCAAAGCAAACAUCCCUGAAAGCUUAAUACCAAGCAUCAAAGUCAUGCUAGAAAAUACAAAUUCUGGGAAAGCAGAGCUUGCCAGUCCUGUCCAUAUCCCACUUCUGACUAAUUAGGAAAGAACUGACAGUAAAAAUAGGAAAGUCUUGCACCACUCAUUUCAGCAUAUGUGAAUCCAAGAUAUUCUGUUCCAGAUUAAAAAAAAAAAAAAAAAAGAAAAAAGAUUUUUUAGAAUUAUUAUUUACAUGUAAUUACAAUGCUAAAAUAGAUCCUGGAAAACAGAGACAUCAAAGAUGCUAGGAAAAGUAGAUGCCUGGAGAAAAAGAAAGUGCCUAUGAAAAGGUCUGAAUGUUGGUCUCUGUCUCAGUACAGAGUUGAACUUCCCACCACCACCUCUCCAUGCACCAGGCAGCAGGGAGCAUGGGGUAUAACAGUGCAAUCUCUGAAUGGCAACCCCCAAGAAUUCCUCCAGAGAUGAUCCAAUGUGUGUGAAGAAGACCCACCUGACAGGAAUGAUGGUGAUCAAUCCCAACCAUGUGCUAGAAACUGCAGGGAAUGACAAUAAGAAAUGGAAGAUGCCACCUUCCACAGCAAGAACAACAUAAGAACUGCAAAGAGAACCCAAUACAUUCUCCAUAAGUGCUUUGUUUGCUCUGCAAAGAAAUUUUGCAUUACCUAGUUUGCCACUGGAGGUAAUAGUUGUGAACCUUACCAAAGGGGAGGAAAAUAAUGCUCUUGCUCCAGAGAUGCAAAGUGUAGCUGCUGUCCAGGUGAAAGCACUGUACCAAAUACUUCAAGGAGCCAGGGAAAACCCC